CGAUGAUUAUCACAAUACCGAUCACCACGAUGCCUGUUACGGAACUCCCGAUGAUGACCGAGGUCUUAUCAACAGACCCUGCAGGGUCAUAUUGCUCUCUACAGAGAGCGAGAGAGAGAGACAUGCAGACACCAUAGACAGAGAUGCAGUGGUCACAAGGACACUGGCCAUGUCCACUGCAUGUCGUGCCGCCCUCUUUCCAACAGUCCCGUUCUUUCUCAGGAGGACAGUGACACUUUUCACCACUGUAUCCGACAUUACACAUACAUGUGCCACAGCUACACGAUCCCUUCCCUGCAAAACACACAGAGGAAAGGGGAGAAGAGCAAGAAGAGGCACCAUGUAUGCCAUGGACACCAUUGCCAUGGACACCAUUGGUUCUCAAAGUGUGGGGCGGGCCCCACUAGUGGGGAAUAGAGACAUGACAGGUGGGGCGUGAUGAACAG